rnacentral:rRNA from 1 species
ACUGUAUCUUUAAAAGUUAGUCUAAAAAGGUUCAGCCUUUUAGAAAUGGGUACAACCUUCACUAGAGAGUAAGACUUUACAACACCAUAGUAGGCCUAAAAGCAGCCAUCAAUUAAGAAAGCGUUAAAGCUCAACAAUAAAAAUAAAAUUAAUCCCAACAAUAAUACAGCUAACUCCUAGACCUAAUACUGGACUAUUCUAUUAUUAAAUAGAAGCAAUAAUGUUAAUAUGAGUAACAAGAAAUAUUUUCUCCUUGCACAAGUUUAAGUCAGUAUCUGAUAAUAUUCUGACUGUUAACAGUAAAUAAAAACAACCCAACAAUAAAUAAUUUAUUAAUUGUACUGUUAACCCAACACAGGAGUGCCCCCAGGAAAGAUUAAAAGAAGUAAAAGGAACUCGGCAAACACAAACCCCGCCUGUUUACCAAAAACAUCACCUCCAGCAUUUCCAGUAUUGGAGGCACUGCCUGCCCAGUGACUAAACGUUAAACGGCCGCGGUAUCCUGACCGUGCAAAGGUAGCAUAAUCAUUUGUUCUCUAAAUAAGGACUUGUAUGAACGGCCACACGAGGGUUUUACUGUCUCUUACUUCCAAUCGGGGA